rnacentral:rRNA from 1 species
UACGAAAGGUCCAAGCGUUACUCGGAAUUAUUGGGCGUAAAGGGCGCGUAGGCGGUCGGAUAAGUCUUGUGUGAAAUCUUCGGGCUCAACUCGAAGUCUGCACAGGAAACUAUCUGGCUUGAGUGUGGGAGAGGUGAGUGGAAUUCCUGGUGUAGCGGUGAAAUGCGUAGAUAUCAGGAGGAACACCUGUGGCGAAAGCGGCUCACUGGACCACAACUGACGCUGAGGCGCGAAAGCCAGGGGAGCAAACGGG